AGCGGCGCCGGGGGCCGAGCGGGGCGGGGUGCGCCCGGGAGCGGCUUAGCGCGGGGCAUCGUUCCACUAAGGCUACUAGGAAGAAGGCAGUAUCAGCUGUGAAUGACACAAGAACAACUGGGGAAGAGGAUGAGAAAACUGUGAAAGAAUUGCUGGGGGAGAUGCCUGGGGACAUUGGCAGUGUUUUGAGCCAGCUUCUGAAGAAAACCUGGAGAAGUCUUACUGGAGCUGAAGUUGCUGCAUGAAGGAUAGAGGGAAACAAGGGUGGAUCCUCUUCCCCACAGUGAUGCCAUGAUAAAGGAUGACCAAUAGCUGUAAGGAGAAAGAACAUAUAAGGGACAAGCCGAGAUAACACUUAGUAAGGGAUGGAAAAUGCCAGGCCUUCGUAUGGUCUACUGACUCCCUGGCCAAGAUGUGUCCUGCAGCUGAUGUAUAGCCCUAAGCAGGAAACAGCCAGGGCAUGCAUUUCAUGAGUGGGGUAUAUGAGGCGGUACUUCAUCUCCAGGCCUCAGUGGAGGACACAGAGCAGAGGCAAUAUCAUGAGGGGACGUAGCAGGCAUAGACAUGAUUUUUCAUCAUGCUUGUUUACAGUGCGGCAGCUCGACUGGACUUGCUUAUUUAUGUUGAACUGCACAGUGUGCAAGCACUCAGCAAAGAGGCAGGUAUCCAAAACCAAGGUGUUAGUACAGGCUGCAAAUCAAGAGCACGGUGAACUGAACAUGGUCACAAACAGGCUUUAAUAUUGCACUGCAGAACAGUAACUCCCACACUAAAUGAAGAAAAGGGUUAAAUUUGUAGACGGCUGGCUUUGCAUAGUCUGGCUAGGCCCACCACACUGAUAUUUAUAAACUCUCAGUGGAUGACUGAGAGCACCUCCAGGCCUGCCGAGGGCAGACUAGCUCUCUAGCAACACACUGCAGGUGAAUUUAAGGGUGUGGUAAUUGAGCUGGGCUUGGGUCACCCAGUAGCAGUCUGAAGCCAGCCAGCCAUGCUAGGCAUAGCUCUACACUCCUGAACAAAGUGUUCCAUUAGGCCUGCUGGAGCCUGGGCAGCCUCCACUAGUCAGGCUUUCUCUUUCUGAAUUUUAUGCAAUGAAAAGAAUGGGAUAGGCAGGGUGUGCAAGGAGGAUUUUGUUCACUUCCAUAAAGAAUCCAGACUACAGCUAAGCAUCUGGAAACAUGCUUCUUGGGAUUUCAGUGUUGCAUCUAAAAUGCAAUGUUAUGACAGGGAGCAGAAGAAAAAAGGAUCAGUGACUUUGCAGAUGAAUGACCAACGUACUAACAUGACAAAAUGAGCUCUUGGUUUGCCAUAAAUACAUUAUCUAAGCUUUCAAGGGUUGAUCAGUAAGAAUGCAAAAUCUCUUUCAAAGGAUGUAGAUGAGAAGGAGGGGUACUCAUCAGAAUUAAAGAACAGCUUUUGCUAGACUGGUGUUCCUGGCAGGUUACACCUGCUUCCCACUCUGUGCCUUGCUGCCACUCUGUCUGGAGCAACGUGCUUCUAACAAUAGCUGGUAGCUGCAAGGUACAGAGUGUGCUACGCAGCUCGUUUCCUCUUCCUCCUGCCUGAUUGUUAUUGCAGAGCUCCCAGCAAGAAGGGCUCUUUAAUGCCAUUAAGUCACAAGAAACUGUGGCUUUGAUAGUGAGGAUCUGAUUUAAUGCAAUACCAAGUCAAAGAAAAACAUUUAAAGAGAGAAGAUGCCUUUCUCUAAGUGCUUUGUACUGUAAAGCUUCUGUAUAUACACAUACACUCACAUGCUCACACAUCCUGGAGGAGGUGCGUGUCCAGAAGGGAAAUCCUGCCUGCACCGGAGUUCAUGACAAAUGUUCCCACUGACCUUGGCAGGGCUGGGUUUCAGCCACUGUCUGUAUGUGGGGGACGGUGUGGAAGUGUUCAGGCAUGAUAUGUCUGUAUUUACUUGCUGUGAAAGACUGUGGGAGCCUGAACAUACUAGCAACGCACCAAAAUACAAAUGGAGAGUAAGAGAUUGUCCCCAGGACAAGGCCCAGGAGUGUUGCCAUGCCUUCCUGCACCACAUGUGAUCUCCUGCAGCUUUGUCUGUCUGCAGGUUGUGGGAGCACCCUAGGCAGUGACCUUACUCACCAUCAGAGUCUUGGCGGGGUCUUGGCUUGCUUGCUUGUUUUUGGCUUGGUGACUUUUUUGUGUGUGAUGCUUUCUUGUUUGUCUUUUUAACACAUAUUGGGGUUAGUCUAAAAAUUGCUCAACUGCCUUCAUUCUUCUGCUCUCAAAAUAGAUAGGACAGUUUUUGAGGGCCAAUUAGAAGGGCCAGCUGGCCCUUGAAUAACCAUAAUCCUGCAUUCAGUGAUUUCACUCUGCUUGAUUUUACCUUCAGAUAUGUUUUCAGUGUGGCAGAAGGACAAGAAACCUACAAGUAAUUUAGUGGUUAUGCACUUCAAAACUCCCAUUUUAAUGCUGAUUGUAAUUCUAUUCCACUGUUUUUUUCUAAAAUCUGUUUUGAAUUUGUGCACCUCUAAGCAUCAUUCAGUGAUAUUAUAGGUGGAAACAUAAGAUCCAGUAUAAUGAACACGAAUCCUGUUUUCCUGGAGACCUUUUAUAGAUCUACUGAAGGUAAUUCAGAGACUCACAGUUUAAAGACCUGCUUUAAUUUGUGUAGCUGUAAUGUGCCAAACUUGAGUGGCUAAUUUCGUAUCAGUCACUGAAUGCAGUGGGCCAGCCACAUGACUUCCUUAAUUUAAAAUGUGUUUUGUAUUUAUGGGUUCCUCCUGUUUGUAACUAUCAUUUUGUAACAGCUGCCCUGUGGUACAGCAAGCACCACAAAGCAGAAUCCCUAUGUCUGAAAGGCACUUCCUUCCCCCUUCAUCUUGACAGCACACAUCUGAGCCAAGGUUCCUCUGUGCAGAACCGGGUUGGUCCCAAUACUGGGGCUCUCACUCCUGCUGGAAAGCACUGCACAUCCAUGACUGGGACCAGAUUUGGGGCAGUAUGCCAAGUUCUUUUGAGGAUUUGGGCCUGGCUGUAAAUGUCACAGCUGGUGGCUUCCCACUGUUGAAAAUCUGCUGCAAUAUUAUGGAUGAUGAGCAUUUGGAAAAUCUGGUGCUGAAGACCAGCAGUCAAUAGGGUGAUGUAAAGGAGAGUGGGACAAGGCCCAGAGCUGCAGCACAGGAAAGCAGGAAUACAUUCAAAGUCAUAGACAUUGUCUGUGCAGGAUUCCAAAUACCUGGCAAAACCAAAGCAAAACAUGAGCAUUACUAAAAAACAUCAGGUAGACCUAUUUCUGCGUAGCAAGUAUAAAACCUUGAAUUACUUCCAAAAAAGAUCUGAAUUACCAUUACCAGUGCUCCUGCAGAAGCACUCUGAACUAAGAGCUUGAAGCCAGAGACUUCCAGUUACACUGGAAAAAUGCAUUCUCACUCCCAUGCGGAGUGGUGGCUCCUUGGACAUGUUCCACGUUUCUCUGGAAGAGCUGGCAAUAUCGUAAAUUCCAGAAGAAAAGCUGCUGAACUGCUUUAAGAUUAUUUUAAAGAUGUGUACAAACUACUUUCAGAAAAUUAUGAUCACUGUUUUUUUUUGUUGUUGUGAAUCUUCACGUUUACUCUUCCUUACAUACUAUUUACCUUCUCCCUUUGGAGCACCGUUGUAUAUGGAAACCUGCUCAGCACAACACAUAAACAGCUGUGGUAAGCAGUCUAUAAAGAUGUAAAGAGCAGUUGUUGUCACUGUACUAACAAAGCAGAUUUUAUCAAAUUUGCCUUCAAACCAGGCUCUCAGCUGCUCCCAAGCAUAUCGAGAUGACCCCUACAUGUGUUAGCAAUAUGCUACAAUGACAUACAUGUGUUCCUACGUAGCCUAUUCCAGCACAGGUUUCUUUGUUCACAAUCACAUUAUGCAUGUGUUUGUUAUUCAUGUUUCUGCUUCCACAACUUUCCUUUGAUGUAAGUACAAUACAACUUUUUCAUCGUUAUUUGAAACAGAAACGUCGGGACAAAAGGAGCAUCAAAUAUAGGAAGUACUGAGUUACAUUUUGCCAGUGGUUUAUACCUUUUCUGUAUGUUAAAGUCAUCAAUAACAUAUUUUCAGAAGAAAAAUGAAUGACUUGACUUUUGUUCAGACUACAGGCUUAGCGUAAAGGUCAGACUGUGAUGCCGUGACACAGUGACUGCUCAAAGUCUGCCGCAGAGAGUUUGUGUCAGGGGCAGGAGCAGAUUCACAUUGUCUUUAGCAGUGCCAGAGACAUUUUUUUCUGAAGAGAACAUUAGCUUUUAAGUCUCCUGCAAGUCCUCUGAAAAAUAAAUAUACAUCUUUGGAAAGUGACUGGAAAGAUGCUUACAUGAGAGCUGGAAAAGAUGCUCAAUAUCAAUCUGUACUUUCCUCUUUAAGUGUUUCUGAGCCACAUCUUCACCUGCAAUUAACUCACAUGGCGUAUGAAGAUACACUCCUCUGUGCUUAACCUUUAAACAAAAUUUCUCUGAUUAUUGGCCUUCAUUCCCAGUGUGACUGUGAGAAACGAGCAGGGCAGAUGGGAGCAGGCGUUCCCAGUUGAUGCUACAGAACAUUUCUGUGAUGAUUUAAAGCUGUGUUAAACAAUAGCUUGUUCACAUUCAAUUUCAGAGCAUCCCAAGAUGCUGUAUGAGGCAGGGAAGAGAACUGAAAUUGCUUUUGCGGAGAUGCUAGGCAUAAUUAAAGGCUCAUGUCUAGAUCUUACAGCUAACAAACUGCUGUACAACAAGGGAAGCAGCUCCCUAAGUAGUUUUUUACAAAACACUAAAUAUACUAUUGUAACAAUAAAACCUAACCAUCCAGCUGCCAGCACACUGUGUGCGUGUGGCACUGUGGACAUCAUGUCCACCCCCUCCCCUCAAAUCCAUCCCCUUCUGCUGUUGGAAAAUAGCAAAAGUCCUACCAGGAGCUACUGAGAAGUUUAAUAAAAAUAAAUUGGAGCUGCUUAAUCCACUUCUGCAAUCUGGCUGUACUUGUUCUGAAAAUCAGGACUGCACCUUUGGAAAAGUGCAGAUGUAAAUGUAAAGUGCAGAGUAAAGUGAGAAGCUGUGAGCACUGCCUUGCAGAAGGGCAGAAAAAAGGCCUCUCGCCGUCUCCCCUUUUGACAUGACAGAUAAAGGCAAAUGCGUGAAGGUCUUAAAGCCCCACUGCAGAGCAGGAAGAGGAAAACAAAUGGCACCACACCAUAUACCCAUAAUCCCAACUAAAAGGCAUUCAAAUUCAUUUCUCCUCAGCUUCCCUUUUACACACCAGUGAACAAGUGUGUUUGACAACACAGUGUGGGAGUUUCCAGUUCAUUGAGCGGGUUUCCUUCACCUUUGCUCAGGCUUCCACCUGAAUGUCCUGCUCCCAACCACAAGAUGGAUCCCAGGUGGGCUGGUGGGGACCAGAAAUGGGAGCCCCCGGGCACUGCACCUCACACACGGGGCUCUGGGAGGAAGCAAACUGGGAAACUGGAUGCAGGUUGAAGAGAAAGUGCUGGGCUUGGCAGGAAAGCAAUGCUCUCAGGCCCCAACUGCCACCAUGCUGAGCUCGCUGCCUUUGCUAGGCCUGGAGCUUCCCAUGUGUGAGGAAUGCACCUGGGGAAGUGCCUUGCAGGUUGCUGGGACCAGUGGCCUUCAAUAGGCAGGAGCAGCAGGCCAGAGCAGCAGGCACAACAGCUGAGGUGAUGCCAACCGAUGCUGGAAGAAGGAGGCAAGGGAAAAGUGCUGCAGGAUGCUUGGGAGACUGGAAAAUGCCUCGGAGCCAGCGGAGCCACGAGCGUGUGAGUGGAAGGCAGCAUGGGCUGCUCAUUAGAGCCUGAGCGCAUUGAGAGCAGGAGAGGAUGCUCACAUGGCAAAUCAAUUUGCAGGCAUCAAAUUGAUUUAAAAAAAUGCAAAAGGAUGCACUCACCAUUAUAAAUCGAAUAGGAAGAGCAGCAGAUAAACAUGGUCCAUGGUUCAUAAAACCACAGUUAGAGGGAGUGGAACCUUUUUCUCAGGCAAGAUAGCAGGCAGUGUGCCCUUAUGUCUCAUCUGCAGCUUUUCACAUUUCUAUUUUUCACAUUUCCAAUGCCAAACUAAUUAUUUUCCUCCAAAGGUCCUUUCCACUUCUCUUCAUCCUCAUCCUUCUGUUGACAUUGACUGGACGUAUAAUCACAGCAUCGCUUUUCAGUAUUUGACUCUUGCUUCAAAUCCUUUUUUCUCCCUUGUAGCAUCUCUGAGAUCUCAACCAAGGAUCCAAAACACUUGCUUAUAACUUCACAGUCUCCAGGUUUUGGGUUUCACAUCCCCCUCCUUACCAUCCUUUUCACACCUCCAUCCCACUGCUUCCUACACAGAGUACAGCUGCCAGGUUGAUGAUACAGAUGUAGAGAUAAAAUCCAAUUCUCCAGAGCUGCCUUAGUAACACUUUUUCAGCGUACAGUUCCAGAUACUUUUCUUUGCAUGCAUUUUCUCUGUGCUUUCAGGUUCACCAUGCUGACUUUGCCUCUUGAGCAGGCGCAGCACCCAAGAGCUGUAGCAGGGUGUUAUUCUCCACCCUCACUCACAUCACAGGGAAAACAAGAGUAGUCGGAGUGAGCACCAAACCAGCUGUUUGAUAGAUGUUAAGUCAAGCAAGAGGUUGCACUACAAAGUGAUAGGAAAUAGGCUGUCAUGUUCUUCCAUUACCCCCAAGCCUGACUUCUCCCAGCACUGCACAUCUCCUUGGCCCUGCUUCUAACUCCUCGGUAUCUCAUACCAUCCUCAUGCGCUUUUCAGUGCUCAGAUCUCUGCUGUGUCCUUGCCCCACUCCAUUUCCACAUUGAGCCAGCCUCAGUGUCUGCUUUCUGUCUGACCUGGGCCAUCCUCCCCGAUGGCUUUCAGUGAGCUGAACAAGCAUAUUCUGCACCGGUUCAAUCCCAACAGAUUUUCAUACUAUUUUUGAUGAUAAAAAUCUGUAGGAAAGAUCCAGAGGGUGUCAUUCUCCGAAAAAGCUGAAGAUUUCCUGAAAAUUUCAUCCUGAAAUGUGUACCAAGAAUGGAAAAGUAACUUAAGGCAGUUAAAGUUCAAGAAAUGUAUGGGAACUGCUUCUUACGAAAAGAAAUGUAGGAAGUGAUGGCUACCACCCAGUCUGUGGUUUAAGUUUAUUGUAGGAGUUCUUGCCUACUGUUUUCCUAACCAGGAGUAAGGCUCCCAAAUGAGCUAAUUCUCUAUGUCAAGCCAUACUAGUUCUAUAUAAACUGCAAUAUUUACUUAAAAUCCUCUCGCAGACAAUGUAGUGAUGCAAACUGUCCCAUAGUGGCUGCUCACAAUGUCAUUAUUAUACAUCUCAUUAUCCCAAGACAGCUGGCAAAAAUGAGCUGGGUAAUUUACACACAACUUUGAAACUGUGCCUGCAUUUUGAACUGUGUCAGCAGCCGUGGCUUCUUCACAGCCUCUUAAAUGGGCAGCUACCAAGCA
ensembl:lncRNA